AUUGAACGCUGGCGGCAGGCCUAACACAUGCAAGUCGAACGGUAACAGGAAGAAGCUUGCUUCUUUGCUGACGAGUGGCGGACGGGUGAGUAAUGUCUGGGAAACUUCCUGAUGGAGGGGGAUAACUACUGGAAACGGUAGCUAAUACCGCAUAACGUCGCAAGACCAAAGAGGGGGACCUUCGGGCCUCUUGCCCUCGGAUGUGCCCAGAUGGGAUUAGCUAGUAGGUGGGGUAACGGCUCACCUAGGCGACGAUCCCUAGCUGGUCUGAGAGGAUGACCAGCCACACUGGAACUGAGACACGGUCCAGACUCCUACGGGAGGCAGCAGUGGGGAAUAUUGCACAAUGGGCGCAAGCCUGAUGCAGCCAUGCCGCGUGUAUGAAGAAGGCCUUCGGGUUGUAAAGUACUUUCAGCGGGGAGGAAGGGAGUAAAGUUAAUACCUUUGCUCAUUGACGUUACCCGCAGAAGAAGCACCGGCUAACUCCGUG
rnacentral:rRNA from 1 species